GACGAACCGUGCGAACGUUGUUCGGAAUCACUGGGCGUAAAGGGUGCGUAGGCGGCGCGGUAAGUCGGGUGUGAAAUCUCGGAGCUUAACUCCGAAACUGCAUUCGAUACUGCCGUGCUUGAGGACUGGAGAGGAGACUGGAAUUUACGGUGUAGCGGUGAAAUGCGUAGAUAUCAGGAGGAACACCGAUGGCGAAGGCAGAUCUCUGGGCCAUUACUGACGCUGAGGAGCGAAAGCGUGGGGAGCGAACAGG
rnacentral:rRNA from 1 species